AUUGAACGCUGGCGGCAGGCCUAACACAUGCAAGUCGAACGAGUGGCGGACGGGUGAGUAAUGUCUGGGAAACUGCCUGUUGGAGGGGGAUAACUACUGGAAACGGUAGCUAAUACCGCAUACAAUCUGAUGUGCCCAGAUGGGAUUAGCUAGUAGGUGGGGUAACGGCUCACCUAGGCGAGCAUCCCUAGCUGGCCUGAGAGGAUGACCAGCCACACUGGAACUGAGACACGGUCCAGAAUCCGACGGGAGGCAGCAGUGGGGAAUAUUGCUCAAUGGGGGAAAGGCUGAUACAGCAAUGCCGCGUGAAUGAAGAAGGUCUUCGGGUUGUAAAAUUCUUUCAGCGAGGGGGCGUUGUAAAAAGAAGAAGCACCGGCUAACUCCGUGCCAGCAGCCGCGGUAAUUG
rnacentral:rRNA from 1 species